CUACACAGCAAAAACUGGAGUGUUAAAAUUUCAGGGUUAAAGAUGUUAGAGUUGAUUUCCACUCUCAAAGUGUCAUAUUAACACAUUCUGAUUCAAAUAGUAUUCAGUGUUGGAGUUAUUAAACAGUGUUAUUCAAGUCCAAGCAAAUGAACUCUGAAGAGAGUUAUUUAACUUGGUAGGCCCCUGGGCUUCUGCCCAGGUAAACCCGUGGAUCAAUUAAUAGUUUGCUCUGCCGGGCCGAUUUUCCAUGUGCUUCUGCUGGUUACACCGUGGUGGAUGCCUGCCGUGCUGCUUGGAGUAUUUUACACAAACGGUAAGUUAUUCAAACUUAUAUAAAAUUCACAGUAUUCUAUCGGCGCAGUGAGGUUUUCUUGAUGUUUCUUGGUGUUCGGUUGCUGAAAACGAGCUUUAAUAGAGGAGGAGAUGUGUCGAAAAUUCUAUUUAGCCUCCAAUGCUAAUGUUGCAGUCUUUUUACUCGUAAGUGACGGUAGACACUGCACGUGGAAGCGCCGCGCCAAGUUCAGCUUUUCCCCUGUUCACACAGACACGUCUUUCUCCACGCCAGUUCAUGAGCGUUUUUGCUUCUCUGUUUAUUCAGAGUAAUUUUUUCACAAUUGAUAAGUAAAUAACAUCCCAAAAUAAUUGAAGAGAGCUUGUUUUAGUCACUCCUGCUUUUACUUUGACAUCGUUCAUCGCUGACUUGUCUCUAAUCUGUCUCUCUCUCUGUCUCACUCUCUUCUCCCUUUGAGACACCCGCCCCAAACAUAGUCAGUUAGGCUGUCCCCUCCUUUGCUAUGUGUUCAUUUUCAUCUCUAUUGUCUCUUUUCAUACACAAAUCUGAUCGCAUUUGUCAAUCGCAGUAUUUUAUUUUGGAGAAUAGCUUUUAUCUUCAAAAUUGCCUGGAUUGUCUUGUGUGUCUUGGUGUAACUUCCUGCGGAACAUGCGUGGGCCACGCAAAAAAUAGACCAGAUACCGAAACAAUCGCUUCGUAGCACUCCGUGUCUGGUGUAAACUACACCAUAGAUUAACGUGUAUUUUGUAUUGUGUUAUGUAUCAAUUGGACUCCUGCAUGGACAGACACAGGUUUAUUUGAUAACAUUAAAUGUUAUUGCAGUGAAAUUCAAACGCAUGGUCAGUAUUAAUCACCAUGUACGGUAUAUGUCAGUGUUUUAAUCAUUUGUGCUUGAAUUGCUCUAAAUGUCAAAUACUAUGCCAUCUUUGUUAUUAUUUUAUCCCAGUAAAAUGCUGGUUCAGGUUCGAUACUGCCAACAGCAGAAGUAUGUGAAGUUGGAAGAGGUUGAUGGGCGUUUUGAGUUUAUGCAGUUUCAUGAAAAAGAAUUUUCUGAUUACUCCUUGUCUUCUGCAUCUGAUUGUUCUGACUCAAGCUUCAGCUCAAAUGCAAGUACAUCAACUAUACUUCUAGAUGAGGGUCCCAGGAAGAAAACAAGAGUUGAGGGUACUGUUGAUGCAGCAUCUGCUAAAAAGUUAAUUGAAGGUGUACUUGGAACCAAUUCAGGUGGUGAAGAGGUUCUCCAGGAAUAUCACACAACACAAACUCUGACAGAUGCUACCAGAAGAAAAAUGGUCAAUAUAAUAGUGGCUCACAUGAUUGAUUGCCAUGGGCACCUCCCCACCAAAGCUGUUAGAGAACAGUACGCGCUAGGGGUAGUGACAUUGUUCCCAUCCCUGAAAGACCCAUACUCCAAGAAAGGCUAUGUAUAGUCACUACUAUUGCACUUUGUUUACAUAAUUUUCAUGCUGUGCAUCAUUGGGAUUUGUGUGCGUUCACAUUUAAGUUCUAAAAAUUUUCAGAUUGACAACACAUUAUUUUUGAAUGUAUUUACAUUUUAGGAACACUUCUAUGAUGCUGCAAGCAGCACUGGAUACAUUUCUUGGCGUUUGAAAACGAUACAGAGAAAGACUAGAAGAGGAUCUGCACCACCAAGUAGCUCCACUGGCUUUACUCAAGGAGGGGGCCCAAAUUACCAAAGGCCCAUUAAUGUCGACAUGCAGCUUGAUGGAGAUGCUUGCCAGGAGGCCAUCUCUUUGCUGAAACAUACAUCCGACACUUCCUUGAUUUUCCAGAAGAUGAGAGAGACCUUUCAGCAUCGUCAGAAGGUCAUCAAUGAUCCUGACAAAAGUCUUGAUAUCCUGUCUAUCUUCCCAAGAUUCUUGGAUACAAGAGGAUUGGUGAAUCAAGACUUCACUCUCCUGUUUGAUGAUGAGAUAUCUACCAGGCUGCUUCAGAAAUGGGAUCCAAUCUUUAGGUAUCAAAUCAUCAAAGAGGCCAAGCAGCUCACCUCAACAGUAGAGUUGCGUCAAUUGGUGCAGUCAGCAGAGAGUCCACCAGGAAGUGAUCUUGAUGAGGCAGCAACCUUUGACCAAGACAUGGCCUCCCUGUUGUUACUGUUACAUCUACUUCCGCCACCCCCAGGAGGACCAAAGUAUCAAAAAAUCAGCGCCUCUGAUGCUGUUGAGAGACUUGUAGUCUUUCAUAAGUCUUGCUGCAGUUUGGAAGAGCAUCUCCAGAAUCAGCAGAGUCAGCAGCCAUACCUCCUGGCUGUUGGGCGCCAGAAGAGGAAGGUCGACAGCUUCUAUGUUGCCAUAGACAAGCGUCUCAUCCCCUGCCAGGCCAGCCGCUCCCUUGGGGCAUUUGAUGAGCUUUUUAAAGCUCAUUUUGUGUUCAAUGUGUCUUAUGAUGCUGCACUUGUGAAUUUCUACACAUUUCUGCAGACAACAGUAUACAAUAUUGAUAUGGGGAAAAUGAAGGAGUCCCCAAGAGUGCGUGACUUGAGAGCCAAAAUCCUUAACCAGGAAAUUCUUCUCACAACCUAAGUAAAAAUCAUUAAAAUGCUGACAUGUUUUUUGUGUAAGAGAGCUUAUCUCAGCAGUCAGCAGCUGAUUUCACAUUUAAGAGGUGAACAUGGUUAUUAUCCUGGACCUAAGUUUAAGUUGUGUUGUUGGCAGCCAGGCUGCAGGCUUCAGUUCCAAACUUAUGCAGGCUUUAGGAAGCACCUCAGUUUUCACAGCAAUGUUGACCACAAUGAUCGAACUUCAGCCAUUGCUUCUUUUUCUAAUGACACAGUUUCACCUGCUUUGGAGGACCAGUUUAAUUCCUCUUAUCUUCCUCACAGUUCUCCCAGUGUUCUUCCAGAGUCUAGUUCUUCCAGUGUUCCAGUGAGCAUUGAUUCAGUACUUACAAGGGAUUCAUCCAAAGAAAUCUGUGCAUCCAUUGUGGCCAAACUGCAGGGUAGUGGCCUUUCUAACAGUUUAGUAUCCUCACUUGUAGGCGAUUUGGAGGAAUUAACAAGUGAGCUUCGCUCAGAAGCAAAGCAGGCCAUUCUUUCUGCGUUACCCACAAAGGACUCCAGCAUAUCUUUAAUAAAUGAAUGUUUUGAAAAUUUUGAAAACCCUUUCACCAAUCUGAACACAGAAUGGAAACGAAAUAAAUACUUCAAUCUAAAAUGGGGAGUUGUAGAACCUAGAGAAAUAACACUUGGAGUGAGGUAUGACAUCAGGCGAAAUCAGAAGUUUGGUACUUAUGAUCAAGUACCUGUGAAGGAUACUUUUAUAUAUGUACCUAUUUUGGAGUCUUUGAAGUUCAUGUUUAGAAAUCCAGAGAUUUGUGUUUUCCUGCAGAGAGAGUGUAGCUCAGAGCCUGAUGCUUAUCAUGACUUUUGUGAUGGAAGUUACUUUAAAACUCACCCUUUGUUUUCAGCCAAAAGGCAUGCAUUACAAAUUCAGCUAUACUAUGAUGACUUUGAAACAGCCAAUCCUCUUGGCUCUAAACGCGGAAUUCACAAAAUUGGCUGUAUUUAUUUUGUUAUAAGAAACUUGCCCCCAAAAUUUAAUUCCAUUUUGAUGAACAUUCAUUUAGUGUCACUUUUCCACACACCAGAUCUGCAAAAGUAUGGUUUUGAUGUUAUACUGGAACCACUGAUAAAUGAUGUCAAAAAACUGGAAAGCCAAGGGCUAAGUCUUCCAUUUUCUGAUGAGCAGGUAUAUGGCACAAUAUCACAGAUCACUGGAGAUAACCUAGGGAUGCACUCAAUUCUUGGUUUUAAUGAGUCGUUCAGUAGCCGUCAUUUCUGUCGCCUUUGUUUGAUUGAGAAGAAUGAUUGUCAAAUGGUGUACAGUGAGGAUGAUCCUAAAAUUAUUCUUCGUGGGAAAGAUUUGUUUGACAUACAUUGCCAGUCUCUUCGGGAAGAUCCUAAAUUGAAGUCACUGUAUGGGUUGAAAAGAAAUUCUGCACUCAAUUCAUUGCAGUAUUACCAUAUUUGCAAUAACUACUCAUUUGAUAUAAUGCAUGACCUUCUUGAAGGUGUGGCUCAGUAUGAGGUCAAAUUGCUUUUUGAGUAUCUUACGCAACACUUCAUAUCAGAACAGAACUUGCUUUCUAGGAUUUAUGGUUUUGACUAUGGAUUUUUAGAAAGAAAAAACCGGCCCACUAAAAUCAUAUUGGACAGUGCUGGCAAUAGCAUUGGUUUGAACUCUAUCCAGACAUUCUGUCUUGUGAAAAACAUCCCACUUUUGUUUGGUGACAUUAUUCCUGCAGGGAACAGACACUGGAAUUUGUUAUUGUUGUUACUUCAAAUAAUGAACAUUGUUUUUUCACCUUGUCUCACUCUGGGAAUGACUAUAUAUUUGAAGAAUUUGAUUAUUGACCACCACAAACUAUUUAAGCACACGUAUCCACACAGAAACUUGAUUCCUAAGCAUCAUUUUAUGAUUCAUUACCCAUCCUGUAUUCGAAAAAUUGGCCCUUUACUGUAUAUGUGGAGUAUGAGGUUUGAAGCUAAGCACAAGUUGUUCAAAGAUUAUUUCAAAAAUUUCAAAAACCUCACCAAAUCGCUUGCUAAACGGCAUCAGAUGGCCAUUGCUUAUCACUGGGAAACCUUUUCUCUUAAACAGAAGGAGUUUGGGCCAAUUAAAUCAUUUUCUUUAAGAGGUGAAAGUGUGGUCAAUAGUGAAAUGCUAUUAUCAAAAGAUGUUUUCUCAACAAGUUGGGUUAAAAUUGAUGGUGUAGAGUACAAAGCUGGACUCGUUGUUUGCAGUACAAUGGAGGAAGACAUGCCAGUCUUUUGUCAAAUAAUUGAUACACUUAUGGUUGAAAAUGACAUUUUUUUGUUGACACACAAACUCUUUACUGAAAACUUUGAUGAACAUCACCAUGCAUUCAAAGUAGUACAAACUGAAGAACGGUGUGUCAUAAAAAUAACUGAACUCAAAUGUCACAGACCAUUUGAUAUUCAAAACUCAUACAGUGCUGCAGAUGAAAGUUUGUACAUUAUAUCUUCAUUUAUUAUGUUUUGAUUCACUUUCUGGGAAAAAGAAGCAUGAUAAUAAAUGUUUUUGGACAAUGUACAGUUUUCUUGAAAUUAUUCUCAUGAUUGUACUUGUUGUCGUUAAAAAGUUAUGUUAAUCUAUUACAUAAAUAGUUCUUUUAGGGAUUAAAACUACCUUAAUAAAAGAUUAAAGAGUUAAAGUAGUGUUAUUUUUCAAUCUGUGUAGUGUUAAUUUAACCCAGUUUGGUGAGUUAAAAAAUUAACUCAGACAUGGUGUUAAUAAUAAUUUGCUCAGUGUUAAUUUAACCCGGUUUUAAGAGUUAAAAAUUAACUCAGACAUGGUGUUAAUAAUAAUUUGCUCAGUGUUAAUUUAACCCGGUUUUAAGAGUUAAAAAUUAACUCAGACAUGGUGUUAAUAAUAAUUUGCUCAGUGUUAAUUUAACCCAGUUUUAAGAGUUAAAGAAGGAACUCUGACAAAGUGUUAAAUAAUUAACUAUUUUGAAAAUGUUAAUUCAACUCUGUAGAGUGUGGAGCUAUAUAAACCCUGAAAAAAUGUUAAAAUCAACUCUGUGGGAGUUGAUUCAACACUACAGUUUUUGCUGUGUA
ensembl:lncRNA